rnacentral:tRNA from 1 species
GGUGCUAUAGCGUAGUGGUUACGCAGUGUACUGUUAAUGCAUGGCCUUAGUCCAACGAAAGUUCGAUUCUUUCUAGCACCU